UCUGGGCUAAUACGUUGUCACAAGUAUGCAGCCAAUUAGGUCACAUCACAUUCAAUGUAAAAACGUUUUCUACUUUGUUUUUGACAUGUCUCAAAAUGUAGCCUAGCUAGCCCCAGGCUAACGUUUAUUACGUUCAUUUAGCAUAUAGUUUCCAGGCAACUUCUUCUCAUGAGGCAGGAGCUGACCCUGUAUAUCCCAUUUGUGACUAUUGUGGCUCUAGGUGAGGUGUACAAUGUUUUUAUCCAGUGGUUGAACGACUCUCCAAAACCAAAUUUGUGCAGGGUGUUAAAUAGAAAGGUCCAGUUUACCUUGUCAAAUUUUUUUGACAAAGUAAGAUAUAAUAUAAAGAUAUAAUAAUUAAGUUGAAGAGUUUGCGGAUGUUGUCUGAAGCAAGUCUAUUUUUGAUAAAGCCAGUCUGGUCAGAGUGGAUUAGCAGUGGGGUGACCGUUUCUAUUCUUGUUUUUAUUGCUUUUGUAAUGAUAUUCAGGUCUGUGUUAUUCAUUGAGGGCAAAAAUAUGGCCAACGAUAGGACCAGAUUUUUUAGAUUUUCAUUUCGUUUUACUAAUCAAGAGUAGGCCUGAUUUGACCGAAGGGCUUUGCAUAAUUAUCCCUCCCUGCUAUUUAGUAGUUCCCCAAAGCACCCUGAAACAACUUGAGUCCCACAUACCAUACGCCACUAACUGUCACGCCGCGUCCUGCUACGCGGUCCAACAUCCCCAUCUAGUGGCCACUUGACGCCACUGUACCCCAUUCUUCCAUCACACCUGUCUUCAAUCAGCAAUCUCCACUUCCUCCUUCAGCCGGGGAUCUCCAUCCAGCCGGUGCCAGUUGGUCGUUACAACUACCCAGUUCGUAUCAGUCCUACCAGCUUUCUCUAGACCCAGUUCGGUGUUCCCGUUCCCUUGCUAACCCUCUCCCCUCUUCCCUAGCUCUCCGUCCGUCACUCUGCCCACUUGUUGCUGAACCCCUGUCUGCCUGACUACCUGCCUAUCGUCGAGUCCUCGCCUGUCUGACUGCCUGCCUGACGCUGAAGCCCCCGCCUGUCGCCCAGUCCUUGCCUGCCUGACUGACUCCCUGUUGCCGAACCCUCGCCUGCCUGACUACCGCUUGCUUCGCCCCAGCUUGUCAUCUACCCCGUGUCCCAGUAAACCCUCUUUCCUUUAACCCCGUCUCUGCCUCCCUGUGUCCGGCCCUUUGGUCCCCUCGCCCCGCUCCUUAACACCAACAGUGCAAGCAGGCCAAUGGCAACCAAGCGCGCAGUCCUUCCUCCCUCACUUUAAAAAUCCACCAGCCGCCACUGGUACACAUACGUAAACAUACAUAUAACUAUGUACAGAUACUUAAACGUACAUGCACAUAGAUAAACAAUCAUACUAAUAUUCACACACAGUAUGUGAAAUGUGUGUGCAAUGGCAGUACAAGUACACAAUCUUCAAUAAUUGUACGAUUUCUAGUUCCUAUUCCUGUCCUAUUUCACAUUCCUUACACUUGUCCAUUAAGUUUGCACGUCUGAGUAAUAGUUUGUUGUUCAUUGGUUUGAGGCUAGGUUCCAUUGGACAACACACAUGGCUGGUUGUCUACUUCCGGUAGAAACUAAACGUAGAUGGACUUAAAAAACACCUCUGUCACGCCAUGACACCCAUAAAAAUUAGGGAAUGGUUCACGGAAUUCAUGGUUCGGUUCAUAUCACGGUUUUGGGUUCACUACGUUUUGGGUAAAGCAGGGGGUGACACAAGUGACCAUAAAAAAAAAGUACACGUAUAAACAUGUAGACACACACACACACACACACACACACACACACACACACACACACACACACACACACACACAAACAACUGGUCUCCAGCAUACUUGUUAUUAUUCCCUGAUUAUUGACAUGUACACACAUACAGUUACACAGUAAUACAUUCAUACACACAGUUAUACAGUAAUACAUAAACAUUAUACAUGAAAAUAUUUAUUUUAGUGGUUUAUUUAUUUUAAAUGCUCUAAAAAGGU